GGGUUGUGAGGUUAAGCGACUAAGCGUACACGGUGGAUGCCCUGGCAGUCAGAGGCGAUGAAGGACGUGCUAAUCUGCGAUAAGCGUCGGUAAGGUGAUAUGAACCGUUAUAACCGGCGAUUUCCGAAUGGGGAAACCCAGUGUGUUUCGACACACUAUCAUUAACUGAAUCCAUAGGUUAAUGAGGCGAACCGGGGGAACUGAAACAUCUAAGUACCCCGAGGAAAAGAAAUCAACCGAGAUUCCCCCAGUAGCGGCGAGCGAACGGGGAGCAGCCCAGAGCCUGAAUCAGUGUGUGUGUUAGUGGAAGCGUCUGGAAAGGCGCGCGAUACAGGGUGACAGCCCCGUACACAAAAAUGCACAUGCUGUGAGCUCGAUGAGUAGGGCGGGACACGUGGUAUCCUGUCUGAAUAUGGGGGGACCAUCCUCCAAGGCUAAAUACUCCUGACUGACCGAUAGUGAACCAGUACCGUGAGGGAAAGGCGAAAAGAACCCCGGCGAGGGGAGUGAAAAAGAACCUGAAACCGUGUACGUACAAGCAGUGGGAGCACGCUUAGGCGUGUGACUGCGUACCUUUUGUAUAAUGGGUCAGCGACUUAUAUUCUGUAGCAAGGUUAACCGAAUAGGGGAGCCGAAGGGAAACCGAGUCUUAACUGGGCGUUAAGUUGCAGGGUAUAGACCCGAAACCCGGUGAUCUAGCCAUGGGCAGGUUGAAGGUUGGGUAACACUAACUGGAGGACCGAACCGACUAAUGUUGAAAAAUUAGCGGAUGACUUGUGGCUGGGGGUGAAAGGCCAAUCAAACCGGGAGAUAGCUGGUUCUCCCCGAAAGCUAUUUAGGUAGCGCCUCGUGAAUUCAUCUCCGGGGGUAGAGCACUGUUUCGGCAAGGGGGUCAUCCCGACUUACCAACCCGAUGCAAACUGCGAAUACCGGAGAAUGUUAUCACGGGAGACACACGGCGGGUGCUAACGUCCGUCGUGAAGAGGGAAACAACCCAGACCGCCAGCUAAGGUCCCAAAGUCAUGGUUAAGUGGGAAACGAUGUGGGAAGGCCCAGACAGCCAGGAUGUUGGCUUAGAAGCAGCCAUCAUUUAAAGAAAGCGUAAUAGCUCACUGGUCGAGUCGGCCUGCGCGGAAGAUGUAACGGGGCUAAACCAUGCACCGAAGCUGCGGCAGCGACGCUUAUGCGUUGUUGGGUAGGGGAGCGUUCUGUAAGCCUGCGAAGGUGUGCUGUGAGGCAUGCUGGAGGUAUCAGAAGUGCGAAUGCUGACAUAAGUAACGAUAAAGCGGGUGAAAAGCCCGCUCGCCGGAAGACCAAGGGUUCCUGUCCAACGUUAAUCGGGGCAGGGUGAGUCGACCCCUAAGGCGAGGCCGAAAGGCGUAGUCGAUGGGAAACAGGUUAAUAUUCCUGUACUUGGUGUUACUGCGAAGGGGGGACGGAGAAGGCUAUGUUGGCCGGGCGACGGUUGUCCCGGUUUAAGCGUGUAGGCUGGUUUUCCAGGCAAAUCCGGAAAAUCAAGGCUGAGGCGUGAUGACGAGGCACUACGGUGCUGAAGCAACAAAUGCCCUGCUUCCAGGAAAAGCCUCUAAGCAUCAGGUAACAUCAAAUCGUACCCCAAACCGACACAGGUGGUCAGGUAGAGAAUACCAAGGCGCUUGAGAGAACUCGGGUGAAGGAACUAGGCAAAAUGGUGCCGUAACUUCGGGAGAAGGCACGCUGAUAUGUAGGUGAAGUCCCUCGCGGAUGGAGCUGAAAUCAGUCGAAGAUACCAGCUGGCUGCAACUGUUUAUUAAAAACACAGCACUGUGCAAACACGAAAGUGGACGUAUACGGUGUGACGCCUGCCCGGUGCCGGAAGGUUAAUUGAUGGGGUCAGCGCAAGCGAAGCUCUUGAUCGAAGCCCCGGUAAACGGCGGCCGUAACUAUAACGGUCCUAAGGUAGCGAAAUUCCUUGUCGGGUAAGUUCCGACCUGCACGAAUGGCGUAAUGAUGGCCAGGCUGUCUCCACCCGAGACUCAGUGAAAUUGAACUCGCUGUGAAGAUGCAGUGUACCCGCGGCAAGACGGAAAGACCCCGUGAACCUUUACUAUAGCUUGACACUGAACAUUGAGCCUUGAUGUGUAGGAUAGGUGGGAGGCUUGGAAGUGUGGACGCCAGUCUGCAUGGAGCCGACCUUGAAAUACCACCCUUUAAUGUUUGAUGUUCUAACGUUGACCCGUAAUCCGGGUUGCGGACAGUGUCUGGUGGGUAGUUUGACUGGGGCGGUCUCCUCCUAAAGAGUAACGGAGGAGCACGAAGGUUGGCUAAUCCUGGUCGGACAUCAGGAGGUUAGUGCAAUGGCAUAAGCCAGCUUGACUGCGAGCGUGACGGCGCGAGCAGGUGCGAAAGCAGGUCAUAGUGAUCCGGUGGUUCUGAAUGGAAGGGCCAUCGCUCAACGGAUAAAAGGUACUCCGGGGAUAACAGGCUGAUACCGCCCAAGAGUUCAUAUCGACGGCGGUGUUUGGCACCUCGAUGUCGGCUCAUCACAUCCUGGGGCUGAAGUAGGUCCCAAGGGUAUGGCUGUUCGCCAUUUAAAGUGGUACGCGAGCUGGGUUUAGAACGUCGUGAGACAGUUCGGUCCCUAUCUGCCGUGGGCGCUGGAGAACUGAGGGGGGCUGCUCCUAGUACGAGAGGACCGGAGUGGACGCAUCACUGGUGUUCGGGUUGUCAUGCCAAUGGCACUGCCCGGUAGCUAAAUGCGGAAGAGAUAAGUGCUGAAAGCAUCUAAGCACGAAACUUGCCCCGAGAUGAGUUCUCCCUGACUCCUUGAGAGUCCUGAAGGAACGUUGAAGACGACGACGUUGAUAGGCCGGGUGUGUAAGCGCAGCGAUGCGUUGAGCUAACCGGUACUAAUGAACCGUGAGGCUUAACCUUACAACGCCGAAG
rnacentral:rRNA from 1 species